CCUACGGGUGGCAGCAGUGGGGAAUAUUGGGCAAUGGGCGCAAGCCUGACCCAGCAACGCCGCGUGAAGGAAGAAGGCUUUCGGGUUGUAAACUUCUUUUUUCAGGGACGAAGAAAGUGACGUUACCCGAGGAAUAAGCCACGGCUAACUACGUGCCAGCAGCCGCGGUAAUACGGAGGCGGCAAGCGUUAUCCGGAUUUACUGGGGGGAAAGGGCGUGGAGGCGGGACUGCAAGUCAGAUGUGAAAACCACGGGCCCAACCUGUGACCUGCAUUUGAAACUGGAGGUAUUGAGUACUGGAGAGGCAGGCGGAAUUCCUAGUGUAGCGGUGAAAUGCGUAGAUAUGAGGAGGAACACCGGUGGCGAAGGCGGUCUGCUGGACAGGAACUGACGCUGAGGCGCGAAAGCGUGGGGAGCAAACAGGAUUAGAUACCCUAGUAGUC
rnacentral:rRNA from 1 species